CCAACGGCCCUCUUUAGGGCCACAAAUAUUUCAAUAAUCCGAUCAU
rfam:Caenorhabditis brenneri strain PB2801 C_brenneri-6.0.1_Cont934.1, whole genome shotgun sequence.